ACUUGACGGGACCAAUUAAAC
ensembl:piRNA 21ur-307 ncRNA